rnacentral:rRNA from 1 species
UACGUAGGGUGCGAGCGUUGUCCGGAAUUAUUGGGCGUAAAGAGCUCGUAGGCGGUGUGUCACGUCGGCCGUGAAAACCUGCAGCUUAACUGUGGGCGUGCGGUCGAUACGGGCAGACUAGAGUUCGGCAGGGGAGACUGGAAUUCCUGGUGUAGCGGUGAAAUGCGCAGAUAUCAGGAGGAACACCGGUGGCGAAGGCGGGUCUCUGGGCCGAAACUGACGCUGAGGAGCGAAAGCGUGGGGAGCAAACAGG